CACUUAGGUAAUUACAUAGUGCUACUGGCCCUCAGAUAAAUUCAAGUAUAUUUACCAUGUACUUUACUAAAUUAAUGUCUGUACUCUUUUUUUUCAUCAGGCAGUGUGGUGCUUCUGCACGCUGAAAAUAUUUACAAGGCACUGCUGGAAAUAUAUAAAGAAAAUGAGCCUUUUGUAAAUAUAAAAAAUUUCUACCCCCGGGUGAAGACGAUAUAUGCCGGGAUAACCAAGGCAUACACAGAAGAAUUUGCAAAGACCUACAAACUCUUUGAAACGACCACCGGAGAUAUAUCAGAGAUAGUCCCGGAGUAUCGGGAAGAUGUAGACUCCCUCACACCUUCACCUUCAAUAAUAAUUGAAGGGAAGGUGUGGGGUAGAGAAGAGAUCGAAGAUCUCAAAAAAGAAAAUCAAGAACAAAAAGUUGAGAUCGAAAAUCUCAAAAAAGAAACUCAAGAACAAAAAGUUGAGAUCGAAGAUCUCAUGAAAAAAUUAAAAUUAUAUGAGGAGACAGUGAAGGAACACCAGAAACUCGAGCUUAGUCUGAAGGAAAGACUAAAGAAAUGCGAGACAAAUUAGCUCUCCAGAUAUGGACGACUUGAGAAUGGUCCAGGACGGACCGAAACGUCGUCCCUUCACCUUCUAGUGUGUGGUCUGGUCAACAGCAGUGUGUUUCUUCACGGAUCUCUUGCCAAUUUGCUUAUAAAUUUAUUUAUGAAAUGGUUAUAGAAAGGGCUGCAACUGGUCCAAGUUUCACCAUCACACCCUAAACAGAAAAGGAGAAAAAAAAUACACAACGUAUUAUGCAACGAAUUU